rnacentral:rRNA from 1 species
UACGUAGGGGCCUAGCGUUGUCCGGAUUUAUUGGGCGUAAAGAGCUCGUAGGCGGUUCGGCAAGUCGGAUGUGAAAUCUCCACGCUCAACGUGGAGGGGCCAUUCGAAACUGCCGUGACUCGAGUCCGGUAGGGGAGUGUGGAAUUCCGUGGUGUAGCGGUGAAAUGCGCAGAUAUCAGGAGGAACACCGAUGGCGAAGGCAGGUCUCUGGGCCACUACUGACGCUGAGAAGCGAAAGCAUGGGGAGCGAACAGG